GUAGCCACCCGCUGCAGGCUGGAACUGAUUUAAGAUGGCAUUGGCAGGAAGUGCUCUCAUUCCAGCCACUCGUUGCAUAUACUGGUUGGUCAGAUUUGUCCAGGUUCUUGAUGAAGACGUUUCCCACACCAGAUUUUCUCAAAGAGGGAUCCCUCUGAGACCACAUGAUGCGGAUUGGCUUUCCCUUAAUCACAUCAAAGUUCAUGGUGUCCAAAGCCCGCUCAGCUGUAAGAGAGAAACACAUUUCAAUAAGGAGAGAAAACAUCAGCUCCCACAGGCCAACAGCCUAAGAACAGAUUACUCCAGGACUUUUCAAGUGAGGUAUUGCAUCAAAGUUAUCAAGUCAUUUAGUCUGCAAUCCACCUAUGGAGACAAGUGACAAAACCUGUAAAGCAAAUGAUCUGGAAAAAAAAAAAAAAGGUGCUAUCCCUGAAUUCAGAA